ACAGUGGAGUUUGAGCCAAGGAUGACUUGCCGGGGAUAUUUGCUGCGGAGCAGUAUAUGCCUCAACUGUCUUCCGAAAAGUCAUUUUUGGCUCACCUUCGCUCUCA
rnacentral:pre_miRNA from 1 species